rnacentral:rRNA from 1 species
CCUACGGGUGGCAGCAGUGGGGAAUAUUGGACAAUGGGCGAAAGCCUGAUCCAGCCAUGCCGCGUGUGUGAAGAAGGCCUUCGGGUUGUAAAGCACUUUCAGUGGGGAAGAAAGCCUUGGGGCUAAUACCCUCGAGGAAGGACAUCACCCACAGAAGAAGCACCGGCUAACUCCGUGCCAGCAGCCGCGGUAAUACGGAGGGUGCGAGCGUUAAUCGGAAUUACUGGGCGUAAAGCGCGCGUAGGCGGUCUGAUAAGCCGGUUGUGAAAGCCCCGGGCUCAACCUGGGAACGGCAUCCGGAAGGGCUAGGCGAGAGUGAAGGAGAGGAAGGGAGAAUUCAAGGUGGAGCAGUGAAAGGUGUAGAGAGGGGGAGGAAAAACAGGGGUGAAGGCUGCAUGAUGGACGGACAAGGAAGAGGAGGUGUGAUAGAUUGGGUAGAAAAAAGGAGGCGAUACACAAGUAGUC